rnacentral:rRNA from 1 species
AGUUUGAUCCUGGCUCAGGACGAACGCUGGCGGCGUGCUUAACACAUGCAAGUCGAACGAUGAUGACCUUCGGGUUUGGAUUAGUGGCGAACGGGUGAGUAACACGUGAGUAACCUGCCCUUCACUGUGGGAUAACCUUCGGAAACGUGGGCUAAUACCGCAUAGGAGCUCCUGCCGCAUGGUGGGGGUUUGAAAGAUUUUUUGGUGGGGGAUGGGCUCGCGGCCUAUCAGCUUGAUGGUGGGGUGAUGGCCUACCAUGGCUUCGACGGGUAGCCGGCCUGAGAGGGCGACCGGCCACACUGGGACUGAGACACGGCCCAGACUCCUACGGGAGGCAGCAGUGGGGAAUAUUGCACAAUGGGCGGAAGCCUGAUGCAGCAACGCCGCGUGCGGGAUGACGGCCUUCGGGUUGUAAACCGCUUUCACCUGUGACGAAGUUUUUUUGACGGUAGCAGGAGAAGAAGCACCGGCUAACUACGUGCCAGCAGCCGCGGUGAUACGUAGGGUGCGAGCGUUGUCCGGAUUUAUUGGGCGUAAAGAGCUCGUAGGUGGUUUGUUGCGUCGGAAGUGAAAACACGGGGCUUAACUUCGUGCUUGCUUUCGAUACGGGCAGACUUGAGGAAGGUAGGGGAGAACGGAAUUCCUGGUGGAGCGGUGGGAUGCGCAGAUAUCAGGAGGAACACCGGUGGCGAAGGCGGUUCUCUGGACCUUUCCUGACGCUGAGGAGCGAAAGCGUGGGGAGCAAACAGGAUUAGAUACCCUGGUAGUCCAAUCCCGC